ensembl:lncRNA
AGUUAGAUACUGCUGCCUGGGUUUCUCUCGUCUGACGAGGGUUAGAUUUUUUUCACAUGCUGCUUUGGGUUCUAGUCCCGGAAAAAAGGUUAGAUUACAUGCUGCCUGGGUUCUAGUCCUGAAGAGGGUUAGAUCACAUGCUGCCUGGGUUCUAGUCCUGAAGAAGGUUAGAUCACAUGCUGCCUGGGUUCUAGUCCUGAAGAAGGUUAGAUUACAUGCUGCCUGGGUUCUAGUCCUGAAUAGGGUUAGAUUACAUGCUGCCUGGGUUCUAGUCUCGAAGAAGGUUAGAUUACAUGCUGCCUGGGUUCUAGUCCUGAAUAGGGUUAGAUUACAUGCUGCCUGGGUUCUAGUCCAGAGACUCGUUGACUUCCUUCUAUUGUGUUUUAUUUUUGUAAUUUUUGCAUUAAAAAAACGAAUGGUGUUUAACUAACAUGUUAAAUCUUACAACCUGCUGUACAGACGUCCAUAUCACAGACAUACUGUAGCUACACAAUACAGACGUACAGGGCCUUCAGAGAGUAUUCAUACCCCUUGACUUAUUCCACAUUUGGUUGUUUUACAGCCUGAAUUCAAAAUGGAUUUUUUUAUUUUCACCGAUCUACACAAUUGGGCAAAAUUCCAAAGUGAAAACAUGUUUUUAGAAAUGUUGGCUAUUUUAUUGAAAAUUAAAUACAGAAUUGUCUCUUUUUUUCUAUAUGAGUAUUCACACCCCUAAGUCAAUAUUUUGUAGAAGCACCUCUGGGUGAGUCUCUAAGAGCUGGAUUGAUCAUUGAUAGACAACCAUUUUCAGGUCUUGCUAUAGAUGUUCAAGUAGAUUUAAGUUAAAACUGUAACUCUGCCACUCUGGAACAUUUACUGUCUUCUUGGUAAGCAACUGUCUUCCUCUCUGGCAACUGAGUUAGGAAGAAGGACGCCUGUAUAUUUGUAGUGACUGGGUGUAUUGAUACACCGGUAGUGUAAUGAAUAACUUCACCACGAUCGAAGGGUUACCCAGUGUCUGUUUUUUAUAUGUUUACACCAUCUACCAAUAGGUGACCUUCUUUGCAAAAACAUUGGAAAACCUCCCUGGUCUUUGUGGUUAAAUCUGGGAUUGAAAUUCACUGCUCAUCUGAGGAACCUUACAGAUAAUUGUAUGUGUGGAGAACAGAGAUGAGAUAGUCAUUAAAAAAUCAUGUUUAAACACUAUUUUUACACACAGAGUGAAUCCAUGCAACUUAUUAUGCAAAUAUUUACUCCUGAUUUAGACUUGCUGUAACAACGGGGUUUGGAUACUUAUUGACUCAAGACAUUUCAGUUUUUCAUUUUUAAUUACUGUGUAAAAAAAUAAUAAUUUAAAAACAUAAUUCCACUUUGACAUUAUGGGGUAUUGUGAUGUCACGAUGGGGUAUUGUGAUGUCACGAUGGGGUAUUGUGAUGUCACGAUGGGGUAUUGUGAUGUCACGAUGGGGCUUGUGAUGUCAACGAAGGGGUCUGUGAUGCACGAAUGGUUAUUGUGAUGUCACG